UUCGUCACACUAUCAUUAACUGAAUCCAUAGGUUAAUGAGGCGAACCGGGGGAACUGAAACAUCUAAGUACCCCGAGGAAAAGAAAUCAACCGAGAUUCCCCCAGUAGCGGCGAGCGAACGGGGAGCAGCCCAGAGCCUGAAUCAGUGUGUGUGUUAGUGGAAGCGUCUGGAAAGGCGCGCGAUACAGGGUGACAGCCCCGUACACAAAAAUGCACAUGCUGUGAGCUCGAUGAGUAGGGCGGGACACGUGGUAUCCUGUCUGAAUAUGGGGGGACCAUCCUCCAAGGCUAAAUACUCCUGACUGACCGAUAGUGAACCAGUACCGUGAGGGAAAGGCGAAAAGAACCCCGGCGAGGGGAGUGAAAAAGAACCUGAAACCGUGUACGUACAAGCAGUGGGAGCACGCUUAGGCGUGUGACUGCGUACCUUUUGUAUAAUGGGUCAGCGACUUAUAUUCUGUAGCAAGGUUAACCGAAUAGGGGAGCCGAAGGGAAACCGAGUCUUAACUGGGCGUUAAGUUGCAGGGUAUAGACCCGAAACCCGGUGAUCUAGCCAUGGGCAGGUUGAAGGUUGGGUAACACUAACUGGAGGACCGAACCGACUAAUGUUGAAAAAUUAGCGGAUGACUUGUGGCUGGGGGUGAAAGGCCAAUCAAACCGGGAGAUAGCUGGUUCUCCCCGAAAGCUAUUUAGGUAGCGCCUCGUGAAUUCAUCUCCGGGGGUAGAGCACUGUUUCGGCAAGGGGGUCAUCCCGACUUACCAACCCGAUGCAAACUGCGAAUACCGGAGAAUGUUAUCACGGGAGACACACGGCGGGUGCUAACGUCCGUCGUGAAGAGGGAAACAACCCAGACCGCCAGCUAAGGUCCCAAAGUCAUGGUUAAGUGGGAAACGAUGUGGGAAGGCCCAGACAGCCAGGAUGUUGGCUUAGAAGCAGCCAUCAUUUAAAGAAAGCGUAAUAGCUCACUGGUCGAGUCGGCCUGCGCGGAAGAUGUAACGGGGCUAAACCAUGCAC
rnacentral:rRNA from 1 species